rnacentral:tRNA from 1 species
GGUGGGGUUCCCGAGCGGCCAAAGGGAGCAGACUGUAAAUCUGCCGUCAUCGACUUCGAAGGUUCGAAUCCUUCCCCCACCGCCA